rnacentral:rRNA from 1 species
AACGCGAAGAACCUUACCAGGUCUUGACAUCCUCUGAAUCUUGAGGAAACUUGAGAGUGCCUUUCGGGGAGCAGAGAGACAGGUGGUGCGUGGUUGUCGUCAGCUCGUGUCGUGAGAUGUUGGGUUAAGUCCCGCAACGAGCGCAACCCCUGUAUUUAGUUGCUAACGAGUAGACUCGAGCACUCUAGAUAGACUGCCGGUGAUAAACCGGAGGAAGGUGGGGAUGACGUCAAAUCAUCAUGCCCCUUAUGUUCUGGGCUACACACGUGCUACAAUGGACGGUACAGACGGAGGCGAAGCCGCGAGGUGGAGCAAAUCCGAGAAAGCCGAUCUCAGUUCGGAUUGCAGGCUGCAACUCGCCUGCAUGAAGUUGGAAUCGCUAGUAAUCGCGAAUCAGCAUGUCGCGGUGAAUACGUUCCCGGGUCUUGUACACACCG